UGCCAGCAGCCGCGGUAACACGGGGGGCGCAAGCGUUAUUCGGAAUUAUUGGGCGUAAAGGGCGCGCAGGCGGUCUUGUCGGUCAGAUGUGAAAGCCCGGGGCUUAACCCCGGAACUGCCCUCAAAACUGUCGAUCUAGAGACCGGGAGAGGUAAGCGGAAUUCCUAGUGUAGAGGUGAAAUUCGUAGAUAUUAGGAAGAACACCAGUGGCGAAGGCGGCUUACUGGACCGGUACUGACGCUGAGGCACGAAAGCGUGGGGAGCGAACAGGAUUAGAUA
rnacentral:rRNA from 1 species